GAUCCGGUGGCCUAGUGGUUAGAGCGCCCGCCUCGGAUGCGGGAGGUCGUGGGUCCGAUCCUCGGCCGAGUUA